GUAUAAAUCAUGUGUGUUUACUAUACCGUACCUUUACAGUCUGUAGCGUAUAAAUCAUGUGUGUUUACUAUACCGUACCUUUACAGUCUGUAGCGUAUAAAUCAUGUGUGUUUACUAUACCGUACCUUUACAGUCUGUAGCGUAUAAAUCAUGUGUGUUUACUAUACCGUACCUUUACAGUCUGUAGGGUAUAAAUCAUGUGUGUUUACUAUACCGUACCUUUACAGUCUGUAGCGUAUAAAUCAUGUGUGUUUACUAUACCGUACCUUUACAGUCUGUAGCGUAUAAAUCAUGUGUGUUUACUAUACCGUACCUUUACAGUCUGUAGCGUAUAAAUCACGUGUGUUUACUAUACCGUACCUUUACAGUCUGUAGCGUAUAAAUCAUGUGUGUUUACUAUACCGUACCUUUACAGUCUGUAGCGUAUAAAUCAUGUGUGUUUACUAUACCGUACCUUUACAG